UAAUACAGAGGGUGCAAGCGUUAAUCGGAGUUACUGGGCGUAAAGGGCGCGUAGGCGGUGAGAUGUGAGUGAUGUGAAAGCCCCGGGCUUAACCUGGGAAGGGCAUCGCUAACUAUCUGACUGGAGUAUAAGAGAGGGUGGCGGAAUUUCCGGUGUAGCGGUGAAAUGCGUAGAGAUCGGAAGGAACGUCGAUGGCGAAGGCAGCCACCUGGCUUAAUACUGACGCUGAGGCGCGAAAGCGUGGGUAGCGAACAGGAUUAGAUACCCUGGUAGUCCACGCUGUAAACGAUGAUAACUAGAUGUUGGUUGGGGAACCAAUCGGUAUCGAAGCUAACGCGAUAAGUUAUCCGCCUGGGAAGUACGGCCGCAAGGUUG
rnacentral:rRNA from 1 species